AGAAACAGACUCACAGACAUAGAAAACAAACUUAUGAUUGCCAGGGGAGAAAGAGGAGGGUGGAGUAAAAUUGGGAAUUCGUGAUCUGCAGAUACUAACUAUAUAAAAUAGAUAAACAACAAGGCCCUACUGUCUAGCACAGGGAACUAUAUUCAAUACCCUGUGGUAGCCUACAACGAAAAAGAACAUGAAAGAGAGUAUAUACGUAAUAACUGAAUCACUAUGCUGUACACCAGAAAUGAAUGCAACAUUGUAAAUCAGCCGUACUUCAGUUGAAGAAAGAAGAAAAAAAAAUGAUCCUUACUGAGAUUUGCACCUUUUAUGUGAAUACUCCACCGUGGCUGAGCUGGGAGAAGCAGCUGAACCAGCCUUAUAAGUGACAGCGUCUUAAAAGAGAUUUCGUAUCAGAGAGUUUGGUGUGGAUGAGCAGGGAGGUCAGAUGUUUUCUCGUGAGGACAAAGCCCACACAGAUUGCAAAUAAAAUUUUGGGGCUCCUCAGGACUUGCUUAAAGAGAAAGUGGGGGUUAGCAGCCUACUGAUACAGAAAGGCUAAGGGAAAGCCUCUCUUUGAUCAACUUGAGUUAGAAAAUUUCCACUUCAACGUUGUCCGUCCCUCAUCUUUCACAUGUAGUAAAUUCACUAUCAAAGGCCAAAGUAUUCUCUUUCUUUUCUUUUUUUCCCCUCUCUUACCACAAAACCAGCUAUUAUUUAGGUCUCUUGCAAAGCUGCACAAACCAACUGUUCCUCCUCAGAUUAUGCCUUUCAGAGCUCAGGUGAUACGCCUCAUUGGGUUACACCUUCCAUGUUUUGUGGUCAGAUGUGGGCUGUGUCAUUCUACGCUAUUUCACCUCGCAAGAAAAUAUUUAUGUAUUAGCCUCACCAGGUCCCAUUUCCUCUGGGAAUGGCCCUGUGCACAGGGUCUUCAUGCCAGCAGCGAGCAGUUGAAUCACUGGGUUUUGUGGGACCACUGGACAUCUGGCAGAAAACCAGGAAAGCACUCCUUUCGCUCUGCGACUUCACUCAGCUGGAAAACUACAAGAUGUGUGACUGCAGAUGUGUGACUGCAGGAGAAGUUUCUGAGAGGUUGAGUAUGACACUUUGAGAAAGUGCUUGGAAGGAAACUGGCUAAUGUUGAAGGAAUGGAAAUUUGCACCAUUCACAGAAUUCUUUUUUUCCCCCUAGAUCUGGUGAUACAACAGCUUACUUGUACAAGUUUUUCAUUAUUUUUAAUUCCUUUCUUUUUAUUCCUGGUAAAUAAUAAUUCCCAUUAUUCCCCAAAGAGCAAAACUGAUACCCUUCUAGAGCUGUGGUGGGCUACAAUGGCAAAAACCUUCAAGGAAACUCAUUUGACCUUGUGUAUCAACAGCCAUGCAAAUUUUUUAUAACCCUUGACCAAAUAAUUUUACCUCUAGGAAUCCAUUCUCAGCACCAAAAAGAUAAUGUUCGAAGAUGUUCAUCAAGCUGUUGUUUACAAGAGUUAGAACUUAACAUAAACCUAACAAUAGGGGAAAUGGGACUAUAAAAUAUUUUCUUGAUGCUUAUUGUUAUGCAAACAAUGUAAUAAUAUUGAAAUAGGUUAUGUACUCUUACUGAUUACAAAUACAUAGGCAAAAUAUGCACAGUCAUAAUAAUAAAUAAAAUUCAUUGUCUGCUUAAUAUAUGACAGGUGAUGUGUCAGAUGCUUUACGGACUUGUCUCCUUUAACCUGCCCACCAGAUUAAGGCAAAUUUAGUAUAUGUCCCUUGUACAGGUGAGGAAAAAGAAUCUUAGGAAUUGGUUUAUCUGAACACUGGUAGACUGAAAUUUGAGUCCCAUCCUAAUUGUCAACAGAGCUUACACUCUGAAUGUGUAAUUCCUAGUGAUAUGCGGUUAAUUUUGAGUGAAAAACAAACAUCAACUACCAAAAAAACCCCACAAAACCAAACCCCAAAACAACCCAAUACCAAUAAACAAAAAUCUGACAGCCUCUACUCUUAUGCUAAUCACAUGAAAAAGUAAUUAGAAAGUCUUAUACCAAGAGAAAAUAGCCAAAAUUGAAAAGAUUAAUCUUUCGCCAGUUAAUAAAAUGACUGGAAGCUCUCUGAAGCAACACUUAAAUGUCUAAGGUCUUUUCCUUUGGAUGGGAAUUGGUUACUACAUGUAUGAUCUUAUACUAGGAGAAUCUAAGUAAUACGAUUUUGCCAGUUUAAGGAAGCAAAUCUUACAAGAGCAAUUCUAUCACAUACGUGGAAAAGACUGUCCAGAGGGACUUGAGAAUUUUCUCGUGGACUGGCUCCUAGACCAGUGACCCUUAACUUAUUUUUUGAGAACGUAUUUGAAAAUACUAAUGGCAACUAUGAUCUCUCUUUUUCUCUCUCUUUCCAGAAAAAACACAGUCUUUUCUCGGUGUCCACUUGGGAUUGGUUCCUGGACCUCUGAGGGUACCGAAAUCCGAGGAGCUCAAGUCCCUUGUAUAAAAUGACGUAGUACAGCUGGCCUUCCAUUGCAGUGGGUUCUGCGGAUUCCUCUAACUGCAGAUCAAAUUUUGGUUGGUUGAAUACACAGAUGAGGAAUCCAUGGAUAAUAGAAGAUCACUGUAUUAACAUUUAUACAACAUUUUCUUGUAUAUCUAUCUAUUUUUAUUCUUCGAAAUCUUUUAGGUUCAUUGCUGGUUUGAGGAUUUAAAUUAAAAUUUCCUUUCCUGUUUUGGUUUGCAGAACGUUCUUUGUCCUACAGUUUUGGGGGUAACAUUCUUAAAUAGUUCAAACACUGAUACAGUUUCUUCUGAGUCUUGUCUACACCCGGGUAACUAAGAUUUGUAAUAUUACGAUGAAGAAAAAAUGGAGGAUGUCCAUCGCUAAGAAUCAAAGACAGUGCCUGGCUGUGUAACAAAGAGAAAAGCUUUGACAGGACUGGGCAACCAGAAGACAGAAAUAACCACGUGAAGAGGUCAUUGGCCCGACUUUUCCAGAAACUUGCCCCAGGCAGUGGGCUGUACGUCUGUUACAGAAGACUGCAAAAAUACCAGCCAUUGUGCAUCUGGCCAAUUAUGCAAUGCUCUAUCACAAGGGGAAAUUCCUUCCUCACCCAGCUGCUGCUCAGUGGCCUGCCUCUCUGAGCAAGAAGAGCCAGGCUGGUCUCCAGGUUACAGCGUCUGAGCACCCUCCUGUGAGGCCGCCUUUGAAGCUGCACUGGGCGUCCCCACCGCCACCCUGACCUUCCCACUCAAGCUCCUGAUGCAGCUGCUGCCUCCGGACCCCCCGUGCUGCCUGGGGAACCGAGUCAGGACUCCUGCAGCAAAUGGGCAGGGCAGCUAGCUGCAAGGAGAUCUGAAAGUGGCCAAAACAAUGAUGUUUUCCAGAUGAGGGUGAGGUUCCAGCCAAGACCAUCACCAGGUAGAGUAUCUUGUUCCUAAUUUUUACAUCCUAAAAAGUACACACAAGACUCAAAGAUCAUUUGGGAAGGAGGAAUAAAGUCAGUCAAGAACAGGAAA